UGCUGUGGCGGCUGCUGCUGCCGGUUACCAUGGCAACCCCGGGCCCGCCGCCGCCGCCGCGCGAGCCCAGCGCCCGCUCCGCCCGCGAGGGGGCGGCCUCGGCGGCCGCGGGGCCCGGGCCGGGAGGGGGACGUGGCGGGGCGGGGCCGAGCCUCCCCGCGCCCGCGGCCUCUUCCCCCGCGGGGAGUGCGGCCCGGGCAGCCUGCGUGCUGCGGGACGUCUCUGCCGCCCGCCGUUCCCUCGGCCAGGCCCCGCCUCCGCGCUCGGGGGCCCAGAGGCUGCGGGCGGCCCUUGAGGGGGCGCGGGGACAAAGAGGGGCUGGGAGAGAGCGGGCCUGGGGGGGGCGGGGUGACCUCCGCUGCGGACGCCCAAGCCCACCCGCCCCCGACGCGCUGUUCCGGCGCCCGCGGGCAGCGCCGCCACCAAACAUGGACAACGCGCCCGCGCAUUUCGGCCGUUUCCACGCCGCGGCUCCCUGUGGGCCACAUCCGACCGGCGCGCCCCUGGGUCUGCACGUUUUUCUGCGGCAGCAAGGCCCUGCCUCACUGAGAAGUGGCACAGGACCGGCAAGUCCGCUCGAACCUUCGAAGCUUCUCUCACACUGGGGCAGAGGCCAUCCUGGCACCAGGCUGGAAGUCCGCCGCGUUGAGGACAGGACGCAGCUAAAACAUCGCUCUGUGGUUUCCCUACGAUCAGCCCCUGGGAUACAGAUCUGCCACAUUACAGGCUUAACUCGCUACAGGACUAAGGAAAUCAAUUUAUUCUACAUCAGAAAGAGACCAAGAGUUAGAAGAUAGCGCAGUGGGAGAAACACACAGAUCCAUGAGUUUGUAACUUUUCCAGCCUAUACGCAUAUAAAUACAGUUAAUGGUUUGCAUUUUAUACCCAUGGCUUGAAGUAGGUAAAGAUGCUCCAAAUAACAAGUGGGGAAGCAGGAAAUUAGAAUAUAUAAAAUGGAUGAUCUAACCCAAGAAUGGGCUUGGUCCCAAAGAGACUGCAGAACGUUUGCACUUCCUGCUGCAUCAUAGUCAUUAUUCAGUUCCAUGCAAAUUUCUGAAAUUGUAGGUACUGACUUGUGCAGGUUGAACACAGUAGGUGAAGUAAGAACUCAAUAAUACGUUUGAGUUAGGGAAACUCGCAGGCCUCUCUGUGGUCACAGGCCUGUCCUUCCGAAGCCCAGCUUGGACAUCGGUAGAUGGCAGGUCAGGGACAGGCUCUGUCACUCUGUGUGUGGCACAGUUAGCACGUGGGUUAGUAAGGACUGGUGCUACAUGCUGUGGGCAGAGGGGCAAGUUUAAGACCUUAUCCCUGUCCUAGCAGGAUUGUUAAUGGGGAAUUUGCAUUGUGGGUGGAGGCUGAAGGGCCACAGGUGCCGCGGGUUUGACUGUGACUGGGUGGAUGAAGGACAGCCGGCAGGAGAGUGCUAGUGAGGAAAGAAGGAACAGUGCCUGCAGACAUUGUGCAGACAGGUGGGAAAUAAGACUGGCCUAAGGGCAAGGGGCCAGGUGAGAGGGGACCCCAGAGCUGCAGAGGAGCCUGACCAGACCCAGGGGGAGAUGGAGGAACGUGUGGAGGGUUCACACAGGCAGGCCACUGAUGAGAGCUGUCUUAGGGAGCCGCCUGUUGCUGGAACAGCCCAGGAUGUCUGCAGUGACCCAGAAAUGAGGCUCCGAGGGCUGGCCAGAGGGAAGUUGCUAUAGGACCAUACAGCUGGAAAGACAGGAAGGUCAAGUGAGGACAGCGAAACCUCCAAUUAGAAGUGCCCUGUAGCAACUGGAGAGAAAGAAUUGAGAUUUAGGAGUUGUCAGCAAAGGGGUUGUAAAUGACAUCUCUAAAGAAGAGAAUGGAAAAUUGGAGAGGGGCUGGGGCACGGCCUCUACAAAGGAGAGGGAAGGAAUGGUCUGAGAGGCAGGAGAAGCAGCAGAGGACAUUGUCUCCCACAGAAAGCUUCCAGUGAGCAUUUUCACAGGGUUCUCUGCAGGAAGGCUCAAGUAGGAUGAGGCUGGAGUAAGGCCCUUCUGUCUGGUGGCAGAGGGCUCCCAGGUGACAUGGAGCACCCUGGUGAGAAAAUAGGUCGCCGUAUAUCAAAGGGAAAAGACAUGUCAUAGUCACAGUCUAAGAGACAUUCAGACAUACAAUAAUCAUACAGAUAGAUGUAUAAAUACAAAUUAUAAGCACUAAGGAACAAAGCUAGGAGGAAGGAUUUCAGAUUAUUCCUGAGAGUCUGAACUGGACUGAAGAGGAAAAGAUGCUACCAGAACAGCCAUGGCAGAGCAAGGGGCGGCCAUGUCAGGCAGGCUGUGGCAGGAGAUGAGGAGGUCUGCUUGCAUAGGGCGUUGGAGAUCCUGUUGGGGGCUUCUGAUUUUACUCUAAGAGUAGAGAAAGUUGACCUUCAGUUCGUAUCAUAGGUUGAACUGUGUCUUCCACAAAAUUCAUCUGUUGAAGUCCUAACCCCCAGGACCUCAGGAUGUUUCCUUACUUGAAG